UACGGAGGGAGCUAGCGUUAUUCGGAAUUACUGGGCGUAAAGCGCACGUAGGCGGCUUUGUAAGUAAGAGGUGAAAGCCUGGAGCUCAACUCCAGAACUGCCUUUUAGACUGCAUCGCUUGAAUCCAGGAGAGGUGAGUGGAAUUCCGAGUGUAGAGGUGAAAUUCGUAGAUAUUCGGAAGAACACCAGUGGCGAAGGCGGCUCACUGGACUGGUAUUGACGCUGAGGUGCGAAAGCGUGGGGAGCAAACAGGG
rnacentral:rRNA from 1 species